UGCAAUCGGGUCCGUGUCCAAUCGAGUCUGUGUCAAAUCGAAUCCGUGUCCAAUCGGGACUGUGUCCAAUUGCUUAUGUACGCAACCAGGCCUCACUCACUUCAAACAUUUUUGAUCGCCAUAUUGAAUCCAUCAUCUUGAGUUCGAAGAUUUUGAUGCUAGAUUCAUAAUCAGUAACCCCCAAAAACCCCAUAUAGUGAUUUUCAGUAAAUUUGAUUGACUUCAAAUAUUCUCGACCGCCAUAUUGGAUCCGCUAUCUUGAAUUUGACAUGUUUGGUAACAGAAUACCAAUCAGCGGCCCUAAAAAGCUUUAAAAACCAAUUUAGAUGAUAAAGCGAUUAAAAGAAAUAUUUACAUUUGGAAAAAUCGGAAAUUUUAUAUGUUUUCUCUCUUUCUAACGAGUGAGGCCCGAUUGCGCACAUAAACGAUCGGACCUUUAUUACCAUCUUCUACCGCCAUAUUGGAUGUUGUCAUCUUGAAUUAAAAUAUACUCACACAUAUUGGAAAGUUCAUGGUCCAUGGAUGCAAAAUUUUCACUUCUCAGAAAUAUUUCUAUCCGUUUUAUGUGUAAAUAUUAAUUGAAAAAACAAUUCAAUAAAAAGAAUCAGUUUUUUUGCAAGUAAAUUAACAUAAAUUGUCCAGAUCGCAUUCUUGAGAAAUUCUGACACCGGAUAUUGAAAGUUCAGGAAAUUUUACAUAAGAAAAAGUUAGUUUGAAAUUUUUUGAAGAUUAGAUUUAUAAUAUAAAAUACCACUUAAGAAGUCACAGAAAACUAUUCGCUUGAGACUUAAUGGGUUAAACUUCCUAUUACAAUAUAAAACAAUACACAAAACAAAACAAUAGAUAACUUUUUUGCAAGAUGUUUCUACAUGUAUCACUAGUAUAGAACAAAUUAUUACCAACUGUCAAACUGAUCGCGAAAUUCAACUAUAAACUUGUACGUCGAAAACAAGUCAUGUUCGGUAUUUUUGUUUGGUCAUUUUCUCAAUUGGCUCGAAGAACAGCCGCCGUGUUAGCGAUUGCGCAACUUCGAGAAUAAUCUAAUAUGAACGCAUCUUGAGUGAUAUGAACGUUAUGCACCUUGGCGGACAUGUCAAAGUCUGAUAUUGGAAAUGUCGAAAUGUCAUUUUUUACAGACUCGAUCUCGAAAUCUCGGGAUUGACUGCAUCGAUUUUAUUCGGCCUGGUUGCAAUCGAAAACUCGUAUCAAUAUUAUGUAAUAAUAUUGAUAUCCUUAGAUGUUUUAUUUUAUAACUUUUGUUUUUGAAAUAUUUAAAUCGUAAAAUCUUAGACGAAAACUUGAGAUAAAACAACAGAUUAUACUAUGUAACGCCUCAACAUUGCUAUAGUACCGUAGCUAUAGGAUAUUUUAUUUAUAAUAGAAUAUUUUUUGUACUUGGUGUCGUAACGACACCACAUUUUUGAAGAUACUCUGCAGUCUAGACCUUUUUUGUACAUUCUAUUAUUUUUUUGAUGUUUUUUAAAUAAAUUAAUUUUAAGAUUUUUUUUUUCGAUAAUAAGUCGAUUGUUCUACGUUGGAGUUUAAUAUAUUAGAGUUAAAAUGAUAACGUAACACUUUGGUACAGUAGGAAUGAACAGUAGGUCCACUCGGCGACGGUGCCUUUGAUCUCCAUGAGUCUAAUAUAUUAGAGUUAAAAUGAUAAUGUAACACUUUGGUACAGUAGGAAAGAACAGUAGGUCCACUCAGCGUCGGUGCCUUUGAUCUCCAUGACUAAAAGAUCCGCCAUAUUGUUGGUUGUGCGCGGAUUUUAAUCAUUGGUGCAAGUUUUCGGCCGCCAGCACCAAGAUGGUCCCAUUGGUGAGGACACGCACUUUGUUAUAAACAUACUUUGUCGCCAUAUUGUUGGUUGUGCAUAUCGUGCGCAUAAGUCAUGCGCAAGGAACGACCAUUAGCACGAUUUUCAGUAGAGUGAACCUACUGUUCUUUCCUAUACUGUGACUUUGCUGUCACACACACAUACACAUGCGCGCGCCCACGCACGGACGCACGCACGCACACAUACAUACGUGAAAAGUAGUUGUUGAUGGCAUGCGUGGAUUUUGUAUGGUACUUUAAAGUAAAACGAUGCCCGCAAUUCCCGUGACGCUCUCGAGGUUAAAGUAGUAUCUCGGGGUAAACGCCACUAUGAAAACUAUGUCGACAAUAGCAUGGCUUUUGCGGUUCAGAACGCGUUUCAUUUAAUCUAUACAUAUGCCUGUACAUAUGAGCUCUGUCCGACGUUAAAUCAGUUAGUCGCCACACUGCGUUCACCGAUGAUAUUACAAUCAACCUUUGCAAGGACACCUUCCGGACGUGCAUGGGUAUGUGUGUGUUACUUCGUUACCAUGCGUUUCUCCUAAAUAAUAGUAAGCUUCGACGGGAGGCUCGCUCGCCCAUUGGGCUUGAUUUCAUCUUGCUUGCUUAUUAAUAACAAUGUUCACUUUUAAUUGACAGUAAUAACGCCGAUAUUGUAUCUGGUAAUUUGCGCAAGUGCUUAAGUAUAUGUGGUGUAAGUCAAUACGCCUAUUAAAUUCAAUUAGAAAUCGGUAGUUGUUUUAAUCUGCAGAAUUAAAAACUAAACUUUCUAUUUUUAUCUAGUAUACGCUAAAUGUAUUGAUAAGAGAGCUGUUUUAAUGAUCUUGAUCUCGAAAUAUGAUGUUAAGACUUGAAAGUGAUGACGUUGAAUAAGUUUUAGUCCCGUUUUUUGUUCUUUAAAAAGUUAUUAAUAAUGCAAAAACCAAUUGGUGGAAUGGCAAGAAAAGUUUCAUAAAGAUACAAAAAGUAAACAAGGACAAACUGUACAUGACAAAUAUUUACAUAAAUAUAUGAAUGAUCUAUAAUUUUUAUUAAAAUGAUGAAACAAAUUUGGUUAUUAGCAUUUUGGUUGAGGUAAUCAGACAAAUUUGACAAAUUUGAUUGCAUUCUAGUUAUGACCGAAAAAAAGUUUAAUGACAUUAAUUAAAAAUCUGAUAAAUUCAAACAGUACGUUUGUUUGAAAAUAAAUGAAUCAGAAUUUUGGUAAAAAUCAUUACGUUUUUAAUAUAUAUUUGAAGUACUUUCGUGUACAAAACUGAAAACUAUAUUAUCAAAAUACAAUGUCUAUAAAGCUGGCAUAGUCACUUUAGCCACUUUAGCACAAUCGAAUAAAAUUUAUAUAUAAAUUUAGUGCUCUUUUGUUGCUAAUUUGUUGCUCCAUUCCCCAUUUUGUUGCUCCAACCGAUUCGGAGAAAUCACUGGCUGUACCAACUUUAAAUAAAGUUAGCACAACCCCUCCCCAAAAUUUUUUUUAAUUAAACAAAUACGGUGGAUUUUUGUAGAUCUAAUUAGUUGUUAAUUAGUUAUUUUAUUCCGAAUUUUUUUUUCCAUUAUUAAACCCCGAAAACCAUCUCCAAAGUUACCUUAUAGUAACAAAACGUUCUAAAAUUAUAAAUAACCACAUAUAUUGAAUGAUAUCGCUUCCUCGGUUUUGUUACUUGCAAUUUAUAACAAUUCCGAUUUUGUUGCUCCACUCCUAUCGAUUAAAAAUCACCUUAACUACUCCACAUUAGCUCCAUACAGCACCCUAAAAUUAAAAAUAAUAGCUAAAUUUUGACUGAUAACGCUUUAUCGAUUUUGUUGCUCACAGUUUAUUUUUGCUCACAAUUCCGAUUUAGUUGCACGAAGAAUAUGCAGUUUCUGAAAUUGUUGCUAAUUGUUUAUUCCAAAAAACGGAUUGAAAGUGUGGUUGUACUGGGACACGUUCAAGAGCUAGUAAAGUAUUCUUACAGAAUUUGUUGCUCGACUAAUUUUGGUAUUAAAGUCCUUUUCGAUCUAAUAUAUAAUACUCGAAAAAUAUGCAGUUUCUGAAUUUGUUACUAAUUGUUAUUGCAAAAAACUGGCUGAAAGAGUGCUGGGACGCGUUCAAGAACAAAGUACCCUUAUAGAAUUUGUUGCUCGACUAAUUUCGGUAUUAAAGUCUUUCUCGAUUUAGGUGCUCGAAGAAUAUGCAAUUUCUGAAUUUGUUGCUAAUUGUUUAUUGCAAAAAACUAACUAAAAGAAUGGUUGUGCUGGAACGCGUUCAAGAGCAAAUUACCCUUAUAGAAUUUGUUGCUCGAUUAAUAUUGGUAUUAAAAUCUUUCUCGAUUUAGUUGCUCGGAGGAUAUGCAGGUUUCAAAUUUGUUGCUAAUUGUUUAUUGCAAUAAAGUGGCUAUAAACUCCAAGCAACAAAAUUGAUGAAGCGUUAUCAGUUGAGAUAUAGUUGCUAUUUUCAGUUUUAGGGUGUUGUGCUAAUGUAGAGUGGCUAGGAGUGGUUUUCAGUCGAUAGGUAGAACAAUAAAAUCGGAAUUGUUAUAAAUAACGAGCAACAAAAUCGAGUAACGGCUAUGAUUUGAUAUAUGUGGUUAAUUAUUAUUUUAGAACAUUUUAUUACUAUAGGGUAAUUUUGGGCGUGGUUUUAGGGUUUAAUAAUGGAGCAAAAAAAUCUACUGCAUUUGUUUAAUUAAAAAAAAAAUUUGUUUGGGUUGUGCUAACUUUAUUUAAAGUUGGCACAGCUACUGGUUUUUCCGAAUCGGCUGGAGCAACAAAAUCGGGAAUGGAACAACAAAUUAGCAACAAAAGAGCACUAAAUUUAUAUAUAAGUUUUAUUCAAUUGCUUAAGUAGCUGUGCCAGCUUUAUAGACGUCAAAAUAGAUCUCUCACUUGCUCAUUUGUUCAUGGAAUUCAAUUUUGGGGAUUCACAAAAGGAAUUAUUUUAUUAGAAUAUGGAAAAUCUCAUAAAGCUUUUUAUUUUAUCUUAUAUGGUUUUUUCUUACGAGAAUGCCGCAUUGCACUCCAUCUGGCAAUGCCGCAUAUUGUUAAAAAUAUCAUAACUUUUCUGUAUAUUAGACCAACCAGAAAGUGUUUCAAAUUUUUAUAUAUUAUAUAGACGUUGUAUUUUGAAAAUUAGUAUAACACUAUAUGUUGUACAAUCAAAUAAGUAUAUUACACAAAAUUUUUAUUUUUUGUAUGAAAUAAGUAUUCUAAGAUAACAUUAAUACUUUGUGUUAUGUUUUAUUUUUAGUGAUAUUAAAAGAAAGGCAGGAAGAAACUCUUUAUUGGAAAUUAAAGUAAAAGAAGAAUAGAAAAGAGUAAAAGAAAUUAAAGUAAAAGAAGAUAAAAGAAAAAAGUGGACGAUAAGAAGAAAGAUAAUUAACCACAAAGCUCGGAAUUUACAGAGUAUCUAACAAUAUAUGUGGACUUUGAAGCUGGUGUAUGCUACUGUUGAUAAGUUUAUCGAGGUUCAUCCCAUUUUAAAUGCAGCGAACCAUCAUAUAAUAGAGAAUUGGCAGUACAAUUCUUAUCAAAAAAAUUAUCUAAAGGUGUACCUUCUAGUUUUUCAAGUAUGUCACUAUUUUAUGGCAGACCAGAUAAGAGAAUAGCUACAAGUGUUAUAAUUUUAUUUAAAAAAAUACUAUAUUGUAACUGUGUGGCUCUUAAAUUAAGAUAUUGUCUAACCAUCUUUUUUAGAUUAUUGAAAUAGGUAAAAAGUGUGAAAUCCUGUUUGAAACAAUAAAGUUACAAUAAAGUUACAGAUUAUAAAGUCACUCGGCUGGUCUGCCGAUGACAUAGUCACAGGCUAUAAUAUCGGAGAUAUGUUUAUAUGGAUGCCAAGGAUCACCUCUACGUCUAUUUAGUAACUGUCAUGGAUUAUACGCGAGCUGGAUAAGGCACAGAAAUAUACAGAUAAAGCUUUUAGUCAAAUCAAAAACUAAAAAGUAAGUAUUUAAAUACUUUGUUCCUGAAACAAUUUAUUCUAAUUAAUACAAUUUUUUUCAUACACUUACAAAGAUUAUAUUUAAAAUUUUUAUUAAUAUUUUUGAUUUUCUAACUCAUUUUUAUUGUAAAUUGAGACAUACAUGAGAUGAAAGACUACAAAAUGACUACGAGUCGAUUUCUCAAAUAUGAUACAAUACGUCAUCCCAUAUUUUACUUUUCAUUCUCUUUGCAUCAAUUUAAUAUAGCAUUAUAUUUAUUGCUAUUUUACAGUUAAGAUUGUAGUUAAAUUGUAGUAGUACAUUUAUUAUUAUAUUGAUUGUUCUUUUACAGUUAUUGAUAAUAAUCAUAUUUUGCCCCUGUUUUAAUUAAUGCUCUUGGAACAUAUAAUCAUGUGUCGGCUUGUAAUGGAAAAGCGUGGCUCUUAUGAAAAUUUUUCAAGCUUGCCAACUUUGCAGGUGAUAGCCUAGAUUACUUAAAGGCCAUAGACCACAUUCACAAUUUCCAUAAUUUCCAUAAGAUCCAUGCUUUUGUUUUCCAUUACAAGCCGGCACAUAAAUGUAUGUUCCAAGAGCAUUAAAUGAAACACAGACAGAAUAGGGACGAUAAACAUAAUUAUAACAGUACAAUUACAAUUUAACUACAAAUAAAAAAUUUUUUGAAUGUGUUUUUUAUGAAUGUAUGAAGAGAAUUGAAUUAAUUAUAAUAAAUUGUUUUGGGAACGACAAAGUAUUUAAAUAAUUACUUUUUAGUUUUUCGAUUUCACUAAGACCCUUAUUGGUAUAUUUCUGUGUCUUAUCCAUAUAUCCGGCUUACAUAGAAUGCAUGGCAGUUAAAUAAGCUAAGACAAAUAAUCCUUACAAAUAAUCCUUAGGCAGCCAUAUAAACAUAUCUCCGAUAUUUUUUUUUGUAGCCUGUGAUCACGUCAUCAGCAGGCCAGCUGGGUGACAUAGUUUGUUGUAAUUGUUUCAAACAAGAUUUCACAUGCUUUUUAUUUAUUUCAAUACAUUGCAAAAAAAUAAACCGUUCACUUUAUUAUACCAUUUUUUUGUAAAAUUACUUAUAUUUGGUACCGUAAGUAGACAUAUUCUGUUGGCCAGACUGUUAAUUCCGAGUUAAUUAUACUAUAUAAUAUUUAGAGAAGAGACUCGAGACAAAAUACACGCGCGCGCGCGCACGUGUGUGUGCGUGCGUGCACGCGCAUCAUGCUCUCUUUCUUCUUACUUGUCUAUUCAUUUUUCUUUUCCUAUCCAUCUAUCAUACUUUAAGUUUAAAUAAAAUGUUUCUUCUUCUCUUUCUUUUAAUAUAAUAACUAAAAAUAACACCAAAACACUAAAAUUAUAAAACAAAGUAUUAACUUAUCUCAGAAUACUUAUUUCCAUUUUUUAAAAAUGAAAAUUUUGUGUAAUAUACUUAUUUGAUUGUACAACAUAUAGUGUUAUACUAAUCUUCAAAUUAGACAUAGCCGUUUUUUCCUCCACGAUUAAUCCACGAUGUAAUAGGCAUAUCAUGAAAAUGAAUUAAAAUAUAUAAUCAACGACCCCGAAAAUUCCUAUAUACUUAUUUUGAGUUAAUUUUACUUUUAUUUUCUAAUGUUAUUUGCCAUCUUGGAUCUGUCAUAUUAAAUUUUGCAAAUCUAAUCUCGGAUUUGUAAUCAGUGACAAAAAAAACCAUGUAAAAGUAUUAUUCGAUUGAUACCGAAAUCCAAUUAUUCCCUUUUCUCGCGUAAAAAAUAAUCGAUCGAAUUUUUCAGCUUUACAGCGCUAUUUUGGCCGGCGCCAUGUUAAAUUUUAAAAAACUAAGUGACUGAUUUUGAAGUUUGAAGUCUAUGGACGCAAUUAAUUUACUCUCGAAGAAUGAGCUCAAGCAGUUUCAAUGUGAUAUCGUUGGUUAAAAAGAAUCUAUCAGUGGAAAUUUCUUCGAAAAAAUUGUUUAUAACAAUUUUGGAAUUGAUCUUUUGAAAAAAAUGACAUUGAAUUUUGAAAAGCAUGAAAUUUUACGUAAGAAAAAUUUAGGCUUGAAUUUUUUGAAGAACUAGAACAUGAUGAAUUUUUUGAGCGAAAAAA